rnacentral:lncRNA from 1 species
GGGUAACCACCCACUCAUCGGCUAAGACCAUCGGACAGUCCGAACCGGUCUAGCCAUGGGCGUUUGGAUUGUGUCCUAUUCUUCUUAUUCUUUUCAUCUAUUUCUUCUUCUACUCCUUCUGUACAUUGGCGUGGCCUUGUUGAUGUGUUGGGAUUGGUUAUAACCAUGGUUCUGGUUGAGUAAUGCGGUCGCGGUCCAUAACCGAUGAGUUAGGCGCGUGCAUGGUCUAAACCGGCCUCAGGUGAUCCGAUUGGAUAGGGGCG